rnacentral:tRNA from 1 species
ACCUAGGUGGCGGAAUUGGUAGACGCGUACGCUUGAGGGGCGUAUGACCCAGGUCGUGCAGGUUCGACUCCUGUUCUAGGUA